GAACGCUGCGAUCCCGGGCUCGGAGGCCGGACACGGCACGGCAUCGCGGGCCGGUGCCCUUCCUCACGGUCCGCCGAGGGCGCGACGCCAGCGCAGACAUGGUCGAGUGGGGUCACGGAGACCCGCGCUGGAUCGUGGAGGAGCGGGAGGACGGGACCAACGUGAACAACGGGCGCUGGACAGAGCGGGAUACCAACAACUGGCCCCAGAGGAAGCUCUGUGACCUCCUGGUGGGCCUCAUCGUGGAGAAUGAGGUGGCAGCGGUGACAUCUGUGAGCUGAAGCAAGUCGAAGCUGUUCCAGCAGCAGGUGUGGGGUCAUACCUCAUUGUAACUUUGAUCUGUGUUUCCUUGAUGCUCAGUGGUGCGGAGCACUUUUUCAGGUGUAAUUAAAGAAUCUGGUGCAAAGCACAAGGGAUUGAUUGAAAUAAUCAACCUUUCUGAAGAAAGUGAAGUAGAUGACACUGAGGUGAACGUGAGUAAAAAGAAAGGAGAUGUGGAUAUACUGAAGGAUCUUAUGAAAACUGCAGGCACCGCCACGGUCAGGGAGGCUCUUGGAGAUUACCUGAAGGCACUUAAGAUGGGUAAAGAAGGCAACCCUUGUGAACCAGAGGAUCCCUUUUCUAUUUACCUAAGUUAUGCUCUGUACUGUGGUCUGGAUCCCCAGGUUAGGGUGAGGUCUGUGAGGCUUCUGAAACAACUCUUUAUGCUGCAGGAUAAACUGUAAUCUGGAGGUUGAGAGCUAGUCACAAGUAAGACCAUAAUUAGUGACUGUUGCUAUCCUAUACACCGCAAACUAUUUUGCCUAUGGAACUGCUGAGAGUUUUCUGGAAUGACAAUUCAUUCAGUUGUUUGUAUAAUUACUUGUUCCAGGUUUAUCUUCCCUCCUAGAGUGUAAGCUCUAAGGGGGCAUGGAAGGUGUUUGUCUUAUUCACUGCUGUAUCACCAGCUUUUUGCACAAUUCCUGGCAUAUAAUAGGUGCUUAUGAACAAAUCUUUGUUUGAAUGAAUGAGUGAAGGAAUGAGAGGCAUUACAGAUAUAAUUGAGAUUUACCUAGAUAGUAUCUACACUGUGUGGAAGUGAGGUCAUUCGUUGUUUUCUUCCCUAAAUUAGCUGCCAGGCACAAGGACUGAGGGGCCUGUAUAUCCGCACCUCAUCCUUGGACUCUGUUAUCAAGGUAUGAGGUGCUGCCUGGCCCACAGGUUGGAAUACUGGGAGGCCAAGCUUUGGGAGGUGGUGGUGAAGCAAUUAAGUAGGUGAAGGUCAUAAAGCUAGUAGUUU